rnacentral:lncRNA from 1 species
AUGAUGGAGGAUGCUCUGAGCACCUUCCUACCUUUGUCCCUGUCCCUGUGUCCUGAGGCUUCUCUCCAACGCCGUCCCCCACCAUUGUCAUCAGUACGGCUCCUCCCAGACUCUGGCAUGAGGCACGUUCGUGGCUGGUCUGCUGGACGUGAACCAAGAGCCAUUUGCUCCGGAGGCAAGAGUCGAGUCAGGCCCAGCUGGGCUUUCCCAUCCUUUAUGUGCCCGAUCCCAUUAAUAAUUAACGGUACAGUAAUGAGAAUGGCUUUUAAUAGAAUCUGCUGCCAUCACCGCAUUCUCUUCCCCGCCGAGGGUCUCCCCCAAAAGGAUUCACGCUUGUAUGGCUGCCGUUCCCGCCACGGGCACCGGGAAGCCGGAAGUUCUCCUGCCGAUGUCCCUCCCAGCCCCUCCUCUCUUCUGGGCCUGAGCUCCACUCCCUGUGACCUGACAGCCCCCUCACUCCUCCAUUUCCCACCCCUGUCCCGAAGCCCCGCCCAUGUCCCCUUGAGGUGCCCCCUGUGGUGCUCGACUCCCCCACCCAGCCCAGCCAAGCAUGGCGCUGUCACGCCUCGUCUGUCACCAGGGCAAACUGGUCCCAUUGAGCAGGGACGGGGUGGGCGUGAGACCCACACGGUGCAUCCAGGAGCUGACGUUCUGCAUGCACAGGCCCACUUACAGCAAAGGUCAGUGGGACGGGCGUGGAGGCAGGCCCGGGGGUUGAGCCCGGGCUUGGCCGCCAUUUGUGGGACCGCAGAGAGUGUCGUCACCCCUGUCCCCAGCCUCAGUUUAUUCGUCUGCAGAGCAGGGAUGAAGAUGGCCCCUACUCCAUCAGAGUGUUCCGGUGAGAAGAGAAGCGAAUGUGGGAGAAGCAGAAUUAAGGGACGGUCCCUAACAUUCGCUCCAGGAAAACACCACAAUGUGCCCAGGGUUUUAGCUACUCAUGAUGCUAUUCACUGCAGCAUUAUUUAUGAUGUCGCAACUUGGAAACCAGCUCCUCGUUCAAUAUUGGAGGAUUGGCUUCGACAAGUGUGA